rnacentral:lncRNA from 1 species
AAAAAAAAGGAAAGAAAAGAAAAGAAGAAAGGAGAAAAGACUAGAAGAGGAAGGGAAUUUAUUUUUCCCAUUCAUUUUUCUUCUCCUUCCCGUAAACAUGCAUAAACCCCUCUUCCUCCAUCUUUUCUUUCUACCCCAAAAUUGCUUCAAAUUUCCAUCUCUAAUCAACUAUCCAUCUUCUCCCAACAUAUUUUCAAAGUAGAAUUUGAAGAAAAGAAGAGAAAUCAAGAGAAAAUUUAAGGUUGAAAGAGAGUGAAUAGUAACCAAGGGUUUGAAAAUUUAAAGGUAUGUUAGGGGUUUUUGUUGUAGGGAUAUUUCUUAUCAUUUUAUGUGAAUAUUUAUGAGAAAUAUUGUAUUAAUUUGAUUUAUUGGUGUAUUUUUUUUUCAUGAAGAAGAAGUGGAAGGGAAAGGAAAAGAAAAGGAAAAUUAGGGAAUUUUAAGCUUGAGGAAGAUCUUGGGAAGGUUUGUGCUCAAC